ensembl:ncRNA lncRNA:CR46205 long non-coding RNA:CR46205
AAUGAUUCUUCCGUUGCAGAAAAAUGUCGAAAUUUAAAUGUUUCAACUUGUUAAAAUAAUCCUUAGAAAGUCCGAUAAACUUAGAUACCCCAAAGUGUGUCAUAUAAAAAGAAACACUUCCAAAAGACAAACAAUCUCAAACAAAGGUGCAUGAAAGACAUCAUCAAAAUAUAUAUGCGCACUAUAUACUCACCUCCCUUCAGCGACACAAACCGAAAUUUGCGGCU